rnacentral:ribozyme from 1 species
GGGGGCGCAGGCCCCCGCCUUAAUGCAGCCGCCCGAUUGGGCGCAGGUCGCAAGCCCUGAACGAUGCAGAGCGAGGA